GACGAAGGUAGCAAGCGUUGUUCGGAAUCACUGGGCAUAAAGGGCGCGUAGGCGGCGCGGUAUGUCGGGUGUGAAAUCCCCUGGCUCAACCAGGGAACUGCGCCCGAAACUACCAUGCUAGAGUACAGAAGGGGAGAGCGGAAUUCCUGGUGGAGCGGUGAAAUGCUUAGAUAUCAGGAGGAACACCGGUGGCGAAGGCGGCUCUCUAGCCUGUAACUGACGCUGAGGCGCGAAAGCCAGGGGAGCGAACGGGAUUAGAUACCCCCGUA
rnacentral:rRNA from 1 species